GAACGCUGGCGGUAGGCCUAACACAUGCAAGUCGAACGGCCGCACAGUAAGGGCUUGCUCUUACGGGUGGCGAGUGGCGGACGGGUGAGGAAUACAUCGGAAUCUACUUUUUCGUGGGGGAUAACGUAGGGAAACUUACGCUAAUACCGCAUACGACCUACGGGUGAAAGCAGGGGAUCUUCGGACCUUGCGCGAUUGAAUGAGCCGAUGUCGGAUUAGCUAGUUGGCGGGGUAAAGGCCCACCAAGGCGACGAUCCGUAGCUGGUCUGAGAGGAUGAUCAGCCACACUGGAACUGAGACACGGUCCAGACUCCUACGGGAGGCAGCAGUGGGGAAUAUUGGACAAUGGGCGCAAGCCUGAUCCAGCCAUACCGCGUGGGUGAAGAAGGCCUCCGGGUUGUAAAGCCCUUUUGUUGGGAAAGAAAAGCAGUAGGUUAAUACCCCGCUGUUCUGACGGUACCCAAAGAAUAAGCACCGGCUAACUUCGUG
rnacentral:rRNA from 1 species